UCUGAUGAGUUUUGGCUUCCUUUGGUCCUCCUUGCUAUAUGCUUCAGAAUGGGAAUAUUUCAUCUCUGUGCCGUUAUAUUGAAGGCAUGAAAUAGAUUUUUGAUUUUACAAGCGCUGAUAAUGUAGACAGUGCCUUGAGCAUCAGAAUAGAUUUUGGACUUCAGACUUUUGAGUAAGAACAAAGAUUUCUGGCCCGUGGCUUGGGGGUUUGGGUUCUGUAGUUCUGAGGCAAAGGCUGAAGGUUUACAUUGUAAGUUCUCGGUGUUGCUGAUGUUCCUGGUCCAAGCAUCACACUGUGAGAUUCUCGGUUAUAACCCAAGCGGUUCCAGGCUAUCUUAAAUACGAUAUUCUUUGUCUUUUUACUGUUUGUCUGCCACUCGAAGCCAGUAACGUGCACCUUGCUGUCAACAUUAUAAUAUACACAGAUCAGAAGAUAAUGUGUGGGACUCCCAUUCUUUCCUUCCACUCUGUGAGCUCUGGGGACUGAACUCAGAUCAUCAGGCUUGUAACCUAGGGAGGAAAAAGUAAAGAGAAGAAUGGGAAUAAUGAUGAUAAAUGAAGAAAUUGGGAAAAGCAGCAAUGGAAAGGCAAUGAAGAAAAUCAAUGAAACAGAAAGCUCUGUUUCUGAAAUGAUCAAUAAGAGCCACAGCCCUCUAGGAAAGCCAUCAGAGAUGACCCAAGUUACCCAGCAGGAAUGAAACUGAAGACGCCACUGGAGACCAUUCGGAAAUGAUGCAGUGCUGUGACCGAGGAGCCAUCAAGUCUGAAAGAGCCGAGGGACAAGCAACCGCUCCUCUGAAGGUACAACCCGUAUUGUAAGAUGCUCCAGGGAGAAGCAGGUCACAAAACAGAAUAUGAGAGCUGAAGGAAAGGAAUUAGAAUGUUUAUUCUCCAUAAAAGUGAUAAAUAAUUGAGGAAACAGGGUUUCUCAAAGUGAAUUCUGUGACCAACAACACUGGCAUCACCAGGGAGUCUUCUAGGCAUGAAGCAGAAUAUGGGGUUCUGCUCCGUUCUCAACUCACUGAAUGGACUAUGUGUCUCAAGAAGACCUUCCCCUCUCACCAUGCAGGAUGUAUAUGUGUGUAACAAGUGACUCUGAACUCCACAGCAACAGAGUCAAUAAAGCAUAAAAAUGAACGUGAAAUAGAUUUUAGUGAAAGACGGGAGACAGACAGGUUCCAUCUCUGAGCUUACCUGGGAAGAUGAGGCUCUUCUACCAUAAGGCAAAGACUUGAAUGCAGUAACUUAUGGCUUUUCACAAACGAUUAAGGAUGCACACGAUUAUUUUGGAAAGACUUUAGGAUGACACUGCACUGCUUAUAUAUGCACUCUCCAUAGUGUGUAUGGAGGGACCAAAGACUGGGGACUGAAUUCAUGGCCAUCUUGGUGUUUGAUGAAAGAAUGAGAUAUCAUCUCCAGGACUAGGUCAAGGAAUGCUGCAGCCUGUACUGUUUCACCAUCUGUUCUGGAGCUGGGAGACUGUCACUGUGCUGUCUGUUUUGGAAAAUGCUGACUUGGCUCAGUGGUAAAGCUAUGCUCUGGGAGAGUUAGACCCAGAGGAGGACUUCCUGGGUCUGCCACCUUCCUGAUGUUCAUUGUUCUGCUGGGAUUUGAUGGGGGACUGGUCUUAUGGUUAACUCUUGCCAAAUGGAAAAUUAAAAGGAAAGGAUAUUUUCAUGCUGCAUUAGGAAGUGGGAUAUGUUGGUACUUUUACU